GUCAAUACUACGUCCCCGGACGGUGCAAAGUAAACGAUGACCCACAGGGAACUCUGGGGUAAAAUACGUAUCAAAAUGCAAAACCGAACCUGACCCGGAAAGCUUUCCGGGUCAGGCUUCUUU
rfam:Pantoea wallisii strain LMG 26277 Contig0015_, whole genome shotgun sequence.